GCGUAGGUGAUAUGCCUGUUAGUGGGGGACAACAUCGUGAAACGGUAGCUAAUACCGCAUAAGCUUGGUGAAAUUGAAAAACCAAGGAAAGGGGCUUCGGUCUCGCUGACAGAUUGGCCUGCGUAGCAUUAGCUUGUUGGUGGGGUAAUGGCCUACCAAGGCAACGAUGCUUAACUGGUCUGAGAGGAUGAUCAGUCACACUGGAACUGAGACACGGUCCAGACUCCUACGGGAGGCAGCAGUAGGGAAUAUUGCACAAUGGAGGAAACUCUGAUGCAGCAAUACCACGUGAGUGAGGAA
rnacentral:rRNA from 1 species